GAUGAACGCUGGCGGCGUGCCUAAUACAUGCAAGUCGAGCGAACGGACGAGAAGCUUGCUUUUCUGAUGUUAGCGGCGGACGGGUGAGUAACACGUGGAUAACCUACCUAUAAGACUGGGAUAACUUCGGGAAACCGGAGCUAAUACCGGAUAAUAUUUUGAACCGCAUGGUUCAAAAGUGAAAGACGGUCUUGCUGUCACUUAUAGAUGGAUCCGCGCUGCAUUAGCUAGUUGGUAAGGUAACGGCUUACCAAGGCAACGAUGCAUAGCCGACCUGAGAGGGUGAUCGGCCACACUGGAACUGAGACACGGUCCAGACUCCUACGGGAGGCAGCAGUAGGGAAUCUUCCGNCAUAGGCGAAAGCCUGACGGAAGCACGCCGCGUGAGUGAUGAAAGUCUUCGGAUCGUAAAACUCUGUUAUUAGGGAAGAACAUAUGUGUAAGUAACUGUGCACAUCUUGACGGUACCUAAUCAGAAAGCCACGGCUAACUACGUGCCAGCAGCCGCGGUAAUACGUAGGUGGCAAGCGUUAUCCGGAAUUAUUGGGCGUAAAGCGCGCGUAGCGGUUUUUUAAGUCUGAUGUGAAAGCCCACGGCUCAACCGUGGAGGGUCAUUGGAAACUGGAAAACUUGAGUGCAGAAGAGGAAAGUGGAAUUCCAUGUGUAGCGGUGAAAUGCGCAGAGAUAUGGAGGAACACCAGUGGCGAAGGCGACUUUCUGGUCUGUAACUGACGCUGAUGUGCGAAAGCGUGGGGAUCAAACAGGAUUAGAUACCCUGGUAGUCCACGCCGUAAACGAUGAGUGCUAAGUGUUAGGGGGUUUCCGCCCCUUAGUGCUGCAGCUAACGCAUUAAGCACUCCGCCUGGGGAGUACGACCGCAAGGUUGAAACUCAAAGGAAUUGACGGGGACCCGCACAAGCGGUGGAGCAUGUGGUUUAAUUCGAAGCAACGCGAAGAACCUUACCAAAUCUUGACAUCCUUUGACAACUCUAGAGAUAGAGCCUUCCCCUUCGGGGGACAAAGUGACAGGUGGUGCAUGGUUGUCGUCAGCUCGUGUCGUGAGAUGUUGGGUUAAGUCCCGCGACGAGCGCAACCCUUAAGCUUAGUUGCCAUCAUUAAGUUGGGCACUCUAAGUUGACUGCCGGUGACAAACCGGAGGAAGGUGGGGAUGACGUCAAAUCAUCAUGCCCCUUAUGAUUUGGGCUACACACGUGCUACAAUGGACAAUACAAAGGGCAGCGAAACCGCGAGGUCAAGCAAAUCCCAUAAAGUUGUUCUCAGUUCGGAUUGUAGUCUGCAACUCGACUACACGAAGCUGGAAUCGCUAGUAAUCGUAGAUCAGCAUGCUACGGUGAAUACGUUCCCGGGUCU
rnacentral:rRNA from 1 species